UUGUGAAAUGUAGGUUUUUCCUCAUGUAGGUUUGUCCUGAUGAAUACAGGUACAUACCAUACAAUGUUCUAUGAGGGAAAUUUUGCCCCAGCAGCGGCACUAUGGCCUACUAAUAUCGAAUCCAACUGCCAAGGGAUCUUUUCGUGCAAGACAAUGUAUACAUGGUACCUCGGUUUUUUGUCCCAUCUGAGUGACUAGACUACUGUCCUUGUUCCUGCACCUCUGACAAGGGGAAACCAUGUCGGAAAAUCCUGAUGAACUUUCUCCACCAAUGCAGGCAUCGAACACGUGCCCUCCGGAUUACCGAGCCAGCAUCUUACGCACUUAGCCACCGUGGCUUUAUCAAAAUUAGUAAUGAAGAUGUGCUAUGACAGAAAUUUUGCCUGGACAGCAGCAUUACCGCGCUUACUAAUGACGAUGUGCUAGGAAAGACAUUUUGCCUGGAGAGCAGCAUUUCCGCAUAUAGUCAUUACCAAUAGUUCUAAGUGCACGCCAACCUGUAAAACAGGUCUUUACACACUUUUCCAUCAUUACCAAUUACUAGUCUGUGGGUUCACUAGUCCGUGGGUGCACUAAUCCGUGCAUUCACUAGUCCACUAGUCUGACUCUAUAAAAUACUAUAAAUAUGAGUAUUAAAGAAACCCAGUAGAUAUGGUGACUGAUAUCACCCUUCGUAAACCGAUAACCCAACAUCACGGCAUUUUAACCCGAAAUCACAACAUUUUAACCAUUAUAGCAUAUGCCCUUCUUCAUUAGCCCACUUGGAACAAAAUAGUAGGAUUUUCAAACCCCAUUUAAAAUUCAUUUUCAUACUUUUCUGCACCAAUCGGACUAUUGAAGAUAGUCAUACGCAAUGCAGAGUGCUAUGACGAAAAUUUUCUAUGGACUGUGGCAGGGCGGAGGAUCUGGCAAGGGAUAAGGUAUAGAUGUUUGGGUCAUACAAAAAAUCAAGUCCUCAUGUACAUAUUGGCAUGCACGUAAAAGACACUCCGACAGUUGUAAUUCAAUAUCAGAGUAGGCCAUAGUGCCGCUAUCCGUGCAAAGUUUCCGUCAUAGUACACUGUAUAUAGUGUAUGCCUGUCUUCAUUAGCUCACUCAGAGCAAAACAGUAGGGUGUUUAAUCUCAUUUAAUUUUAUUUAAUUUUCCUACUUUUCUGCACCAAUGGGACUAUAAAAGAUAGGCUGGCAAGCGGACGACCAUAUAUUUAUCGUCUCUCGAUAAAAGACCUAUCUCUGAAAAUUAAAAUUCCCCGAUUUGAUUAUUCUUUUAAUAUGACGUAAUUAUGUAACCUCAUAUAAAAUAUAGUAGAGCGUAUACAAACAAAUUAUAUGAAUAGAUUCAUUAUCAGAAAUAUUACAGGCCUUUCAAACGAACAGUCGCCAUUUUUAGAGAUAGAUGUACAAAUAUAUUUUUAUCGUCUCGGGCAAGGUCAAGGUCACGAUCUGUUCACGGUUGAUGAUUGUGUUUAAAUCGGUUUAUAUCAUAUUAUUUCUAUUCACAUUACAAUAUUUUUUUAUAGGUUACGGUUAUUGUUGUUAUUUAUCUAAAUUGCUUUUAUUAUUUAUUAAAUAUUUUUUGUUUGUUCGUUUGACCGGAACGUACGGAAUUCUGGGAUUUAAAAUGGCGGCAUAGGUUAAAAUUUUUCCCAAAGAAGAAAUGAUGCCGUGAUUUAAAGUUAAAUAAAGCUAUUCCACACAUACACAGACGAUUUUGGAUUCAGCAAAGUAAAGUUGAAGAUCCUACAUGUAUAUUUGAGCACCCUUGGUGGCAGUAAUGACAAAGAAGUUCUAAAAAGAUUUAUAUGGGCUUUAUAAUGAAAGUUAGACAACACUACUACUUGCCAAACACUACUACUUGUCACAUAAUGUAAUGAUAUAAAUAUAUAUGUAUCUAUGGUAGCACAAAUAUCAUCAGAAUGUAGGCCAAAGCUUUACAAACAUUGUAGGCCUAAAAUACUUUCUGUCUGAACUUUUGACAGUCAAUUCUUUGAUGACUAGUUAGUUUAGAGCAGAUAUCCUGUCACAGUAUUAUAUAACAGCUCUUUGGCUUAAAGUCUAAACUGAGUUGUAUCAGUGAGUUGAAAAUCAUCUGUGUUCCUGUUAUUGCUCCCUGCUGCAGCCAGUAAACAAUAAACUUUUGCGUUCCUUACAAAUCUUCCAAUUUUUAUUGAUAGAUCAACCAUAGCAAAGAUCUCUAUUAAGAUUAUAUUUGUAAUGUGUGUAACAAAUUCUAUGACAUAGGUAUAAUAUUGGUGUAGUUAAGUAUAUACCAUAUUUAUGCACACAUUUCAAUGUUGGCAUAUUAUUAGUCUCUAUCAUCUAGAAAAAAAUAUUCUAUAUUCUACGAAUAUUAGUGUGGUUGCGUUGUCAACAUUUGAGAAUAUUCGGUCAUAGGCUAGAUUAUCCGGUCUUUUACAUUAUCAUAAACAAAGUCUAAGGGAGGUAACUAGUCCUAAAACAAGAUGUUGACGCCCAUGAAAUUUAUAUAAGAAUGCCAUUUCCGAAAAUCCAUUUGAUUGCAUUGUCAGUUCAAUAUCCAACACUCUUAAUUUUUUUUAUCGUAAAAUUUCUCUCUUCAUGGGCCAUAUCUAUGUUGUUUUUUUUAUUGAAUCCUAAUUCGUCAUCACGAUUCAUGUUUGUUUAUAAAUGCAAGUGUUAUUGACAACUGUCCCAGACCCUCAUUAUUUAUAUGGCCCAACUUUUCUUCGGCGUACACCGGCACGGUAUUAGACUAGGAUAACAGUCCCGAAACUCAUGGAGUUGAAAAACAUUAGUCUUAUAUACCGCCUCUACUUAAUUAUGGAAGUAGGUUGGAAAAAUGUAAAAUUUGGCAAUUUGACUUAUACUCAACAUCGACUUAUACCCUGUAUGGUAAUGUGAUGAUGCCCCCUCUUCCAGACAAGACAUAGGCUAUAACUGUUUCAAAUGACAAGUGCUAAAUGAAGUAUUUAUGUGGUCUUUGGUGAAAGAAAUGAAAUGAAAUGAAAUGGGGUUUAACGUCCUACUGUUCUGCUCCUAACCUGGGCUAAUGAAGACGAGCAUAUGCCAUACAGUGUACUAUGAGGGAAAUUUUGCCUGGGCAGCGGGGCUACGGCCUACUCUUAUAUCGAAUUCCAACUGCCAAGGGAUCUUUUACGUGCAUGCCAAUGUCUACACGGGACCUCGGUUUUUCGUCCCAUAACGACUAGACAGCUGUCCGUCUGUCAGUUCCUCCGUCCUGCAUCACUGAUAAGGGAAACCACGCCGGAAAAUCAGGAUGAACUUUCUCGGCCAAUACAGGGAUCUCCAGGCUAGCGAGCCAGCGUCUUACCCACUUAGCCACUUGAUCCCCCCCUUUGGUGAAAGAGAGAGAGAGAAAUGGGGUUUACCGUCCACUCGACACAAACUAGGUCAUUUCGGGACUAACAUAUGGUUUAAUUUUUUAUUUACAUAAUUCGCUUGCGUGUAGGGGUCUUUAGCAGUGGGAGGAAACCGAAGGACCCGGAGAAAACCCACGAGGUUGGACAGGCGACCCUACUCCUUGCCACGUACAACCGGGGUUUCGAAACCACGCCAUUCGACUCAAUGACAGACUUUAUGAUACAGCGCGCGCACGCUAACCAUUCAGCCAUCCACCACACCCCUCCCUUUGUUGAAAGAAAACAGAGCUGUGGCUAGUGAAAUGAAAGUUUAACGUCCUACUGUUUUGCUCUGAACUGGGCUAAUGAAGAUGGGCAUACGCCAUACAGUGUGCUAUGUGGGAAAUUUUGCCCGGACAGUGGCACUACGGCCUUCUCUUAUAUCGAAUUCUAACUUCAAGGGCUCUUGUACGUGCACGCCAAUGUGUACAUGGGACCUCAUUUUUUUGUCCCAUUUUAAUGACUAGACAGCUGUCUUGUCUAGCCCUCUGUCCUGCAUCACUGACAAGGGAGAACCACGCCCGAAAAUCUGGAGUAACUUUCUCGGCCAAUGCAGGGAUCGAACACCCGACCUCCAGACUAGAUAGCCAGUGUCUUACCGACUUAACCAACGUGAUCCCCGUUGUGGCUACAAUUCCUGGAUUUGAAGGUCAGGUAUGAUAUGAAACGAAUAUUUUGAACCGGUUCACCAAUGCAACCAAUCCGUGACGGGUUAACUGAUAGAGGGUUACAUCCUUGAUAUAAAUAUACUUGUCGCGGGUUUUAAAAAUAGAAAUAUAUAUAUAAAGGUAGCUCAAAAUUCAUCUCUACAUGUACAGAGGCCAAGGGGGGAUCAUGUGGCUAAGUGGGUAAGACGCUGACUCGCUAGCCUUGAGGUCGGGUGUUCGAUCCCUGCAUUGGCCGAGAAAGUUCAUCCUGAUUUUCCGGUGUGGUUUCCCAUUGUCAGUGAUGCAGGACGGAGGGCCUGACGAAGACAGCUGUCUAGUCGUUUGGAUGGGACAAAAAAAAAACAAGGUCCAGUGUACACAUUGGCGUGCACAUAAAAGAUCCCCUGGCAGUUGGAAUUCGAUACAAGAGUAGGCCAUAGCGCUGCUGCCCGGGCAAAAUUUCCCUCAUAGCACACUGUAUGGCGUAACCUUUUGCGUCUCUUCAAAAUAUUUCAAAUCUUUUGUCAUGGAUCAACCAUUGCAAAUAUCCGUGUUACAAUUAUAUUUGAAAUGUGUUAAACCAAUAUUGGUGUAGUAUAUAUCUUUGUUUAUACACCCACAUAUCAAUUUUGGCCCUGUUUGUCCGUACACUGGGUGUGAAAUGUGAAUCAUUCCGAUUGUGAGAGGACCAGCAUUAUCAAUAUACAGCUUUUCAGGACUUUGCUUUCCUUGGUUAAUUCUCCCUAGUCUAGUCGUUUGGAUGGUACGAAUGAUCGAGGUCCUGUGCACACAUUGGUGUGCACGUGAAAGAUCCCUUGGCAGUUUGAAUUCGAUAUAAGAGUAGGCUUUAGCGCCGCUGUCUGGAUAAAAUUCCAUAAUAGCACACUGUAUAGCAUAUUUCCAUGUCAUUAGCCCUGUCGGAAUAGGACAUUAAACCCAUUUCAUUUCACUCAUUCCAAAGUUAACUUCUAUUCCAUCAAUACCUUGAGCAAAUAAGAUAGAGGCUAUAGGUUUUGGCCCAAUUUGGUCAAUAUCCCAGUUUUUUCUUUCUUAUAUGCAUAUCAACACUUUCAUAGCGCUAAUGUAGACCUUUUUCUUGAACAUUUUCCCGUGUCAGUGAUGCCGGACAGAGGACCUGACAUGGAUGGCUGACUAGUCAUACGGAAGGGACAAAAAAACCAAGGUACAGUGUAAACUCAAGUGUGUGUGUGUGUGUGAAAGAUCCCUUGGCAGUUGGAAUUUUAUAUAAGAGUACGCCAUAGCUCUGCACACUGUGUGGCAUAUGCCCGUCUUCAUUUCUCAAACAGCUGUGGAUAAAAACUGUUAAUAUUUAAAUGUGUAUUUUGUAUUUUAUAACAUUAUAUUUUUGUCUUUUAAAUAAAGUAUAUGUAUACAUA